GUAGCUUCAGCUGCACACAUAAUAAAAUUGGAACAAUACAGAGAAGAUUAGAAAUUUGCCUGCGCAAGGAAAACAUGAAGCGUUCCUCUACCUA
rnacentral:snRNA from 1 species